AUUGAACGCUGGCGGCAUGGCUAAAACAUGCAAGUCGAACGCGAACGGGGCUUCGGCCCCUAUUAGAGUGGCGAAAGGGCGAGUAAUGCGUUUCUAACGUACCCCAUGGCGAGGGAUAGCUCGGAGAAAUCCGGGGUAAUACCUCAUAGUCCCGGCUGGUCGCAUGACCGGACGGGCAAAGGCUUGCCACCCUGGGAUCGGGAAACGUCCUAUCAGCUAGUUGGUGAGGUAACGGCCCACCAAGGCGAAGACGGGUAGCGGGUGUGAGAGCAUGACCCGCCGCAUCGGAACUGAGACACUGUCCGGACUCCUACGGGAGGCUGCAGUAACGAAUAUUGGUCAAUGCGGGAAACCGUGAACCAGCAAUGCCGCGUGAAGGAUGAAGCCCCUCGGGGUGUAAACUUCUGUCAGGAGCUAGAAACCAAAUGAUCAGCUCCAGAGGAAGAGCCGGCUAACUCUGUGCCAGCAGCCGCGAUAAUACAGAGGGCUCGAGCGUUAAUCGGAAUCACUGGGCUUAAAGGGUGCGCAGGCGGACUCGCAAGUGCUUUGUGAAAUCCCACGGCUCAACCGUGGAAUCGCUUGGCAGACUGCAAGUCUUGAGCUCGACAGGGGCCGUCAGAACUCUAGGUGGAGCGGUGAAAUGCGUAGAUAUCUAGAGGAACGCCAAAGGUGAAAACAGACGGCUGGGUCGAUGCUGACGCUCAGGCACGAAAGCAUGGGUAGCGAACGGGAUUAGAUACCCCGGUAGUCCAUGCCAUAAACGAUGUGUACUAGAUCGAGGAGGUUUUGACGCCAUCUCGGUCGAAGCUAAAGCAUUAAGUACACCGCCUGGGGAGUACGGUCGCAAGGCUAAAACUCAAAGGAAUUGACGGGGGCUCACACAAGCGGUGGAGCAUGUGGCUUAAUUCGAAGCAACGCGAAGAACCUUAUCCAAGACUUGACAUGCACGGAUUAACUUCUGGAAACAGAAGCGACGCUCUUUGAGUGGAACGUGCACAGGUGCUGCAUGGCUGUCGUCAGCUCGUGCUGUGAAGUGUCGGGUUAAGUCCCUUAACGAGCGAAACCCCUAUCGUUAGUUGCCAACAGGUAAAGCUGGGGACUCUAACGAGACUGCCGGUGUCAAACCGGAGGAAGGUGGGGAUGACGUCAAGUCCUCAUGGCCUUUAUGUCUUGGGCUGCACACGUGCUACAAUGCCGCGGACAAAUCGACGCAAUACCGUAAGGUGGAGCAAAUCGCAAAAACCGCGGCUCAGUUCGGAUUGGGGUCUGCAACUCGACCCCAUGAAGCUGGAAUCGCUAGUAAUCGCGCAUCAGCCAUGGCGCGGUGAAUACGUUCCUGAGCCUUGCACACACUGCC
rnacentral:rRNA from 1 species